GACGAACGCUGGCGGCGUGCCUAAUACAUGCAAGUAGAACGCUGAAGGAGGAGCUUGCUCUUCUGGAUGAGUUGCGAACGGGUGAGUAACGCGUAGGUAACCUGCCUGGUAGCGGGGGAUAACUAUUGGAAACGAUAGCUAAUACCGCAUAAGAGUGGAUGUUGCAUGACAUUUGCUUAAAAGGUGCAAUUGCAUCACUACCAGAUGGACCUGCGUUGUAUUAGCUAGUUGGUGGGGUAACGGCUCACCAAGGCGACGAUACAUAGCCGACCUGAGAGGGUGAUCGGCCACACUGGGACUGAGACACGGCCCAGACUCCUACGGGAGGCAGCAGUAGGGAAUCUUCGGCAAUGGACGGAAGUCUGACCGAGCAACGCCGCGUGAGUGAAGAAGGUUUUCGGAUCGUAAAGCUCUGUUGUAAGAGAAGAACGAGUGUGAGAGUGGAAAGUUCACACUGUGACGGUAUCUUACCAGAAAGGGACGGCUAACUACGU
rnacentral:rRNA from 1 species